AGUCUAAGUUUGUUUCUAUUAUGAUAAGUUAUUUAAACAUGUUGUGUAAGAUGGUUCACUUUACAUUUUUCAUUUAGUUUCCAUUCUUUGUUUAGACCUUUGUGGAGCUAUGGUUGUUGUAGGGGAGUUGCAACAACUUGAAGAACUUGGACCUGGCGAGAUUUAUUCGUAUCAGAAUCCCAUGAUGGAGUUCACUUUGGUUAACACAGAGUUUGAAACUCUGACUUUUACUCAGCAUUUACUUUAGAAACAGAUGUUAGAGUUUUAUAUACAUCUAAAUGCUAACUCUAAAAUGAAUUACAGCUUAACACACAUUAAAUGUGUUGCCAAUCCUAUUUUUAUUUUAUUUCAGUCUAGCUAAAACUGAAUAGACACACUAUGAUGAUGACUCAUAUAAUUUGUUGGGCAAUUUUUUCGAAUAGCAUUUUUUAAGUUUUUGUCAAAAAAUAGUCGUUAAAAAAGAAAAUGACCAAAAUAGCCUUUUUUAUUUUUAAAAUUUUUAAUAUUUAUUUUUUUAUUUUUAAAAAUAUGAAACUCUAUCCCCAAAACUCCGUCCCUUAAAUCUAAACUCUAAGUCUAAAUUAAUUAACCUUAAGAUAAAAAUACAUUUUUAUUCUUUAAUAAAACUUAUUUCGAUCAUUUUUUCAUUAAGGAAUAUUUUUGUGAUAGAAAGUUAAAAAUGAUUAUGCUAGGGAAUUUUUCUAAUUUUUUUUUUCUGAAUAGAAAAUUGAUGUAAAAAAAAGAUCUGGUUAUUGUUUUUCUUUUUUUCCUAUAUGAAUUAACAGAUUAUCAAUGGCGGCAUUUUAAUGAUGAAAGAAUAAAAAAAACACAUAACUUAUGGAAGAAAAAGAAAACAUAAAUGAUUAUAUGUAGGAAAUAGUACGAGAGAUGGACAUAUAAAUUGAGAUUCGGGGCCGUCUCGGUUUAUUAAUUGUUCGGUUUAUUUCCCUUCCAAAUUUAAUUUCGAAGGAACAAUUCUCCUGGGGACUUUCCCUCUGUUUCCAAGGUAACAUUUUCUCGGGAAAAUUUAGAUUAUUUUCUAGGGAAAGAACUCCCCGCGCUCUUUCUUUUCUUGAAACUAGGUCAAAUCGUACUUUAGAAAUUCAUCUGGAUAGAAAUUGACUGACUAAAGAUAGUCUGGAUUGGAUCUCAUUGUAGUCAAAUAUUUUUCCGGGAAAACUCUUAUUGCCGCACUAUCUAUUCUUAGAAAUCUCUGUUUCUGAUCGAUACUCUUGAUUUCGUUUCCGUUCGUUCAUGUGUGGUAUCUAGGCGAGAGACUUUCUCGGGAAGACAUCGUAACACACGUUUUCUUCACUGAUUCGUUUGCUUCGUAGUAUAUCGAUGCAAUUUUGGAUUUUUUUUUUUGUUUUUGUGUCCAGGAAACGAUGAUGAAGAUGGCAAUUGAUACGGAAGAUUGGGAGGAGGAGAUGAAUACCGCACAAAUUGUUAAGCCGUAUAUGGAUAGGAUUGUUUUGGAUUAUCUUGUGACUGAAGGAAAGUUGGAAGCGGCCCAUAUAUUCAUGGAAGAAUCUCUAAUCAGGCUCAAAUACAGCUUGUGGAUGAGCGAAUUACCCAACGAGUUGCUAUUGUGGAAGCCAUCAAAGCUGGAGAUCUCAAUUUUGCUAAAGAGGAGCUGAGUGCUUUCAAGCCUGAGAUACUGAGAAACUUCCAUCUCCUUAAGCAACAGUUCAUACAACUUAUCCGUGAGGAAAGACACAAUGAUGCAUUUGAUUUUGCUCAGCUUCAUCUGAAACCAUUUCACGAGGAUAUGGCAUUUUUAAAACAAGUGGAGGAAGUUAUGUCUCUUCUCGUCUUUGAGAACAUUUCAACAUGUCCCGUGAAAGAUUUUCUUGGCGAAUCCCAAUGGCUUAAGACAGCUAGUGAAGUAAAUGCAGCAAUUCUUAGCAGCUUCGGGAAAGGUCCCAAACUUCAACGCUUGCUGAAAAAGCUGACACUGAAUCAGAAACAGUUGGAUGAGAGAGCAUAUGAGUACCCACGUAUGAGUGAUAUGUCCACUGGUGAGCUCAUAUACCCAGAAGAAUGAAGAAACCAAUCUGCCAGAGAAAACCACACCAAUUUACACAUUGCUACUGCUAUUUUUGGUUUGUUUGUAUUAACCGGGUUACUUUGUUUUUUCUUCUCUGGUUAUUUUCGGUAUAGCUUUUAUCACAUACAAACAUCAUUUGUACAAAGAUCAUUUUGAAUCAACGAAACAAACAAAGAGAUAUUCUCUCUAA